rnacentral:rRNA from 1 species
CGCCCUUUUCCGGUUGAUCCUGCCGGACCUGACUGCNAUCGGAUUGAUACUAAGCCAUGUGAGUCAUUGUAGCAAUACAAGGCAGACGGCUCAGUAACACGUAGCCAACCUACCCUAUGGACGGGGAUAACCUCGGGAAACUGAGGAUAAACCCCGAUAGAUCAUUAUACCUGGAACGGUUUAUGGUCCAAAUGAUUCGUCGCCGUAGGAUGGGACUGCGGCCUAUCAGCUUGUUGGUGAGGUAAUGGCCCACCAAGGCUAUUACAGGUACGGGCUCUGAGAGGAGAAGCCCGGAGAUGGGUACUGAGACACGGACCCAGGCCCUAUGGGGCGCAGCAGGCGAGAAAACUUUGCAAUGUGCGCAAGCACGACAAGGUUAAUCCGAGUGUUUCCUGCUAAAGGAAUCUUUUGCUAGUCCUAAAAACACUAGCGAAUAAGGGGUGGGCAAGUUCUGGUGUCAGCCGCCGCGGUAAAACCAGCACCUCAAGUGGUCAGGAGGAUUAUUGGGCCUAAAGCAUCCGUAGCCUGCUUUGUAAGUUUCCGGUUAAAUCCAUUAGCUUAACUGAUGGGCCGCCGGAAAAACUGCAAAGCUAGGGAGUGGGAGAGGUAGACGGUACUCGGUAGGAAGGGGUAAAAUCCUUUGAUCUAUUGAUGACCACCAGUGGCG